UACGGAGGGUGCAAGCGUUAUCCGGAUUCACUGGGUUUAAAGGGUGCGUAGGCGGACACUUAAGUCCGUGGUGAAAUCUCUGGGCUGAACCCAGAAACUGCCAUGGAUACUAUUUGUCUUGAAUGUUGUGGAGGUUAGCGGAAUAUGUCAUGUAGCGGUGAAAUGCAUAGAUAUGACAUAGAACACCAAUUGCGAAGGCAGCUGGCUACACAAAUAUUGACGCUGAGGCACGAAAGCGUGGGGAUCAAACAGG
rnacentral:rRNA from 1 species